AUGUGACAUCUUCUUACAUAAUAUUAUAAAAUUAUUUUUAGAUGAUAUUGUUGAGUGUUUUCAAGUUAGGGGUUAGAUUAGAAGAACUCUAAAGUCUUUUUUUAACUCUGAUUCCAUGAGAUCACAACUUUAUAAAUCUUUAUUUUCUUCCAUGAGAAGAGAGAUAUUUCUUGUGUCAUCUUUGUAGAUACCCUUCUAUGCCCUUCCAGUGUAUUGAUAGCAAAUAUUUAAAUAGCAUUUGCUUUGUGUUCAUCACUGUCUUAAGUACUUUACAAUUAUCACAUUUAAUCUACACAAUAUGCUUGGGUAGUGGGUCCCAUUAAUAUCCUCAUUUUACAUUUGAAGAAAUUGAAUCAAAUAGAGGUUAAGUACUUUGCCCAGUUUCACAAAAUUAGUGUUUUAAAUCAAAUUUAAAUUUAGGUCUUCUCAAUUCCAUGCCUUAUAUUCUAUCUACUCUUUCACUUUGCUGCCAACCAUAGGGCCUGAAAUUUUCAUCAUACUUAUCAUAGCUCUAAUAAUGAUAUUAUAUUCUGAUGACCAUUAUAACAAGACAUUUUCCAUUGUUUGGAUCCAUAUGUUAGUAGCCAUUUUUAUAUCAACAUGGAUUAGGUAAUUCAGACAACUUUGUAACAUGUAACAGCGAAGCAGGUCUUAAGACAAUGAUACAUGAGACUUUACAUGUGUGUAUUUGUGUAAGCUUUAUGGUGUGGAAAGAAAGUUUGGAGAAGUCUGAAGGCUUGUGGACUGGUAUAGGGUUCUAAUAUUGCACGAUGAGUAUCCUGGAGGAAAUAAGAGGCAAGAGAAAAUCAGCUGUUUUCAGGGAUAAAUGUAUGGGUUUUGAUAUCAAAGGAUUUGGACAAUGAAUGAUAAGAAUAAAUAAAGGAGAAGAUGGAUAAAAGUAAUUCCUUUAAGUCAAACUUUGUCUUCUUCACAAAGUUACCUUUAUGGAGACUGGUUGGGUCCUCCUAUUCCAUGUCCAAUAUGCCUGCAAAGGAAGGGGAUAUACAAGAAGAGCUGCUGCUGAAUCAUGCCUCAGGAUUAUAUACUGUGUAGGUAGAGUGAUAAGAGUUUAUGUCCAUACACACUUAUCCUAACAUAUGUAGAGAUUUAAUCUUUGAAAUGCUAAAUGGAAAAAAAUAUGAAGUCUAUGAUAUUUAUUGUUUCAAUGCUGCCUUUAAACAGUAUGUUACUGUUUUAAAAGGGCUUAUAUAUCUGACAAUGUAAUAGAGAAUAUUGUAUAUGUUCUUAUAAUAGUCUUAAAAUGAUCUCAUUCUAGCUAGUAGUUAAGUAUAUACAUUAUAGUUUAGAAUUGUCACUUUCUUAAUAUAAGUAUUUUAAUGUAUUGUCUAUUUUUUUAAACUGAUCUCUUUAAAAAUGUUUAUUUGCUUCUUUUUUGUUACCUAGAUUGGAACUAAAAUAGCCAUUCAUGGGUCCAAUCUCACUAACAAUUAAAAUGGAAGUUCUGACCUGCUCCAUUUCUUAUCUGGGUCAGUUUGCCCCUCCUGAGACAGCUUCCUUGCUCUCCAGUCCUGGAGACUCAUUAUAUUGGGAAUAGAAUUAUUCAAACAGCUUAAUGGAGUUUAGAAUUCUCAAACUCAAAUUAUUCAUUAAUCAUAGCCUUUUAUCCUUGGUAGCAAGGAUUACAGAAUUGUGUCACCAUACCCCAUCACUGCAUACUUAAAAACAGUAUAAUCAGUAUUUUUUAAUUGGCUAAUGCUGAGAGAAUGAAAUAAUGUCUGUCUUUCAGCAGUAUUUUUUGGUUGUUUCAAUUAUACUUGAUUUUUGUGACAGCAUUUAGAGUUUUCUUAGCAAAGAUACUAGAGUGGUUUGCCAUGUCUUUCUCAAGAUCACUUUACAAUUGAUGAAACUGAGGGAAAAAGGUUUAAGUUACAGCUAGUAAGUGUUUGAAGUCAGGUUUGUACUGUGGAAGUUGAGUCUUCUUGACUGUAACACUAGAACUCUAUUCAGUACAACAGUUAACUGCCCUAGAGACCUAGAUUUCAUUUAUUGAUGAAAAGUAAGUUUGAAAAUAAAAUUUAAAUCCUAAUUAAUCUAAUAUUUAAAGUCAAUGUGAUUUCACUACUGAAGUCUCUUUCUCCACUAACUGUUCUGUAUCUUACAAGAGGAUUUUUAAGGGAGCCCCCCUUAAGGCUGAUGUGACCAUAACCUUCUUCUUCCUUAGUCAGAAUGGUCUUUGGACAAUAGAUAGUCUAUUACUAGGGGUUUUUGUUUUUUUCUUAAUUGGACCUACUAAAGGAUUAUCUCCAUGUCCUGUUAUAGAUAUCAGCAGAUGACUAUAGUGAAUGAGGGGGGUUAGUUAAUUUUGAAAAUCUAAUAAUGUAAUUAAUUUCCCAAUCCUGACUGAAUAUGGUGGUGAUUUCCACGGAAAUCAAUUUGUAUAUUAAAAAAUAUACUAAUGGAAAAUUUUUAAACAUUAGAUUUUCCUAUUUUGCUCAGGAUAGGUCCCACAAUUUAAAUGGCAAGGAAAAAAGUAUUCUUUCUUUUUUCCUUCUCAACAUAGAAGUGAUGCUUUUUAGUAUUAAAUAUGGUGGCAUCUGGAGAAUUCCUGAAUGAACAGAUGAAACUUUGACUUUAUAGUUCUGGCAACAUUCACUUAACUCAUGAUGAUAUCAGUUCUUCAUUUAUUGAAAUUAAAAUUUAAAAUGGAAAAUGACAGAUCCUUAGAUAAUUAUUUUAGAACUAUUAGUUCUAAGUUUCAUAAGUAGGAAAUCAUCUGAUUCAAUUUUUCUUUGUUAUAAUGAAUAGCCAGCAGGAAUCCCCUUCUAGUGAUUAAGAGUAACAGUACUUUCAUUUUAUAUAAAUGAAGAAACUGAGGCCCAAAGAGGUUGUCACUUGCCCUAGGCUAGUUAGAAAGCACCAAUGUUAACAUUCAUGUUCAGAGUUUCCAAAUCCAAAUCAAUUAUUUCCAUUGCAUCAUCCUGCCUCCUUCUUGCCCUAUUAGUUUUUGUAUUUUAAAGUGAUUAGGAAUAUAGUAAGAAUCUUAUUUGAAUAGGGCUUACCCUGAGAAGCAUUAAGUAGUAUUUGGGGAUAAAUGUAUUUCCCCAAAUGUUAAUUCUUCAGCUUUAGAGAAUUUUUUUUUUAACUAUUCUUCAUCCCAAAUAGUUUCUGUAUUUGUCACUGGUUUUAUUCAUGGUUCCUGGGACUACAGUGUACAUAUGUGAUCAAUGAAAGCUGACCUAUAUAUGCAAAUUAUUACUAUUGAUAAUUAAGCAUAAUUAUAUUUAAUUAAAUUAACAGAAAUAUAAAUAGCAAUUAAAUCAAUUUGUUUCUUAUUUAGUUAUAAGCUAUAAUUUUAAAACAUUUCUACAUUAAAAAGAAAAAUAUUGUCUAUAACAAUGAACUUAUAUUACAUGUGCAUAUAUACACAGAUUUACAUCUAUAUAUUAGUAUACUAAAUUUAACUUGAUUGAAACAAUACUUUCCUACUUAUCUACUUAACUUUUUGAAUUUUCUUGUGUUUCUCUUCUGUAGAUUUAAUUACUUUUUUAUUGUUAGUCUUUUCUUACUUUUCUACGUCCUCCCCCUCCAAAAAAAUCUCUCUUAUAACAUAUUAUUACCAAGCAAAACAGAUUUACUCACUUCCUGUGUUUGAAAGUGUGUUAUCUCUGGCCCAUCAUGAAUCUCUCAAAAUGCAGGAAUCAAACUUUAUAAUCACUUUGGAGUUAUGACUUGUCAUUGCAGUGAGAAUUCUUAAAAACUCCAAAGUUAUCCUUUUUUAAAAAAGCAUAUUAUAGUUACUAUAAAAUUCAAUCUCUGGUGUAUUUAUUCCACUUUGUAUCAGUUAAAUGCCCAAAAUUUAUGAACAAUGGUUUUUACAUUGUCGUUAUAAUUUUAUUUUCAAAAUGGUAGAGUAUAUAUUAAAACACUCCUUGGUCCAUUUAAUAUCUCCCAACAUAACUCCUAAGUUUCAGUAGGGACUCCUUGAUCACACUCAUAGAACUGAACUUCUGUAAUUUCUGAUAUUAGUAUCAUUUGAAAACCUAAUAAAAGCCUAGUUUGGGCUAAGUAGCAUGAAUAUAGAACUGAAGCCAAAAACGAAUCUUUAAAUUUGGUUAUCCUGUGUUUUAGGGCAGCUAGGUGGCCUAGAAAAUUGAGCACUGGUUUUGAAAUCAGGAAAAUUCAUCUACUUACUCAGACACUUACUAGUUGUGUGACCCUAGGUAAGUCACUUAACUCUGCUUGACUGGGUUACUCAUCUGUAAAGUAAGAUGGAAAAAUAAAUGGCAAACCACUUUAUUAUGUUUGCCAAGGAGGCCCCAAAAGGGCUCAUGAAGAGUUAGACAUGACAAAAAUGACAGCAAAAACUAUGUGCUACUUUAUAAAGACAGAAAAGUUAAUUAUGUUAAAGAUACAGGCUGUGUGUGUGUGUGUGUAUGUGUGUGUGUGUACUAGGAAGAUGCUAUAUUACUGAUGCAUUCAUAGAUUUUAUAUCUAAGACUGAAGGAUCUUUAGAGGCCUUUCUGUCCCCUUUAUCUUUCAUUUUAGGUAAAGAAAAAGAAUCAUGAACUUGUUAAGAGACUUGUCCAAAUAUAUAAAAAGGUAAAAUUUGAAUUCAGAUUUUCUUACUAAAAAUCCAUUUCUAUUAUUACUGUACUAUUCUACCUUUCAUUCAUUUUUCUAUUUGUAAAUACCUCAUUUUAUCCGAGCCAUUGAUGGAGAAAGAGUGAUCAAGGAUUAACAAGCAGAAACCAUCAGAAGCUUAAGUUUUCUAAAAAGUCAUUAAGGAAUUUGAAGAUUGAUGAUAUUCAACUAAGCAAUUCCUCAUGACAAAUUACCAAAGAAAAGAGAAUAACAAAACCAGUCAUCACAUCAGCCAUGCCUGAUUAUCUGUA